UGACGUCGGUUACCAAGGGGAUAGACGAGAAAUGGCGUAGUGAUGUCAUUACAGUGUGACGUCAUGCAAAAAGUGUUCUACAUAAAAAAACUAAUUCC